rnacentral:rRNA from 1 species
GACGAACGCUGGCGGCGUGCCUAAUACAUGCAAGUCGAGCGCAGGAAACUGACGGAACUCUUCGGAGGGAAGGCAGCGGAAUGAGCGGCGGACGGGUGAGUAACACGUAAGGAACCUGCCUCAAGGAUUGGGAUAACUCCGAGAAAUCGGAGCUAAUACCGGAUAGUUCAUCGGACCGCAUGGUCUGUUGAUGAAAGGCGCUUCGGCGUCACCUUGAGAUGGCCUUGCGGUGCAUUAGCUAGUUGGUGGGGUAACGGCCCACCAAGGCGACGAUGCAUAGCCGACCUGAGAGGGUGAUCGGCCACACUGGGACUGAGACACGGCCCAGACUCCUACGGGAGGCAGCAGUAGGGAAUCUUCCACAAUGGACGAAAGUCUGAUGGAGCAACGCCGCGUGAGUGAUGAAGGUUUUCGGAUCGUAAAACUCUGUUGUAAGGGAAGAACACGUACGAGAGGGAAUGCUCGUACCUUGACGGUACCUUACGAGAAAGCCACGGCUAACUACGUGCCAGCAGCCGCCGUAAAAC